rnacentral:rRNA from 1 species
AUUGAACGCUGGCGGCAUGCUUUACACAUGCAAGUCGAACGGCAGCACGGGCUUCGGCCUGGUGGCGAGUGGCGAACGGGUGAGUAAUGCAUCGGAACGUACCGUGUAAGGGGGGAUAACGUAGCGAAAGUUACGCUAAUACCGCAUACGCCCCGAGGGGGAAAGUGGGGGACCGCAAGGCCUCACGUUAUACGAGCGGCCGAUGUCGGAUUAGCUAGUUGGUGGGGUAAAGGCCUACCAAGGCGACGAUCCGUAGCGGGUCUGAGAGGAUGAUCCGCCACACUGGGACUGAGACACGGCCCAGACUCCUACGGGAGGCAGCAGUGGGGAAUUUUGGACAAUGGGCGCAAGCCUGAUCCAGCCAUGCCGCGUGAGUGAAGAAGGCCUUCGGGUUGUAAAGCUCUUUCAGGUGGAAAGAAAUCGCACCUUCUAAUACAAGGUGUGGAUGACGGUACCAUCAGAAGAAGCACCGGCUAACUACGUGCCAGCAGCCGCGGUAAUACGUAGGGUGCGAGGGUUAAUCGGAAUUACUGGGCGUAAAGCGUGCGCAGGCGGUUAUGUAAGACAGAUGUGAAAUCCCCGGGCUCAACCUGGGAACUGCGUUUGUGACUGCAUAACUAGAGUACGGCAGAGGGAGGUGGAAUUCCGCGUGUAGCAGUGAAAUGCGUAAAGAUGCGGAGGAACACCGAUGGCGAAGGCAGCCUCCUGGGCCAGUACUGACGCUCAUGCACGAAAGCGUGGGGAGCAGACAGGAUUAGAUACCCUGGUAGUCCACGCCCUA